rnacentral:ncRNA from 1 species
UCCGAGAGAGACCGCUUUUUGCGGCGCCGAAGGGGAAUGCAAAAACUCUCAGGCAAAAAGAUCGG